CUAAUGACUUGGUUUCUUCUGUAAUCUUUUCCACUUAACUGUAUUCUAUUUUACUAAUAUAGUCUUAUUGUAAUGUAUUCGUGAAUCCUCCAUUACCCAUUUCUUACACUAGAAAAGAAAAGAAAAACUAGAGACCUAUACACGUUUCUAAAUAACAAAAGCGUAUCUCAUAAAGAUAACAAGAACACUUGAGCCGCUAUAAAAGAUUGAUAUUUUUUGUUGGAUUAAACAAUCCUAAAGCCCAAUUUUCUGCAAAAAUUAUGAUCUAGCCAUAUAUAGCCAAUCUCUACAUAGCAAAAAUGAAACAAAAAUCUUUUCAUUGCAAAAAUUAAUAGCAAGACGCCAGGUUUCAUCAGUUCACACGCACACAAGAAAACUUGAAGUUCAAGUAAACCUUUACUUGUUUCAAUCUCAUCCUCCCUCACGUUGCAACAGGGUCCAACGACCUUGGAAUAAGAAACGAGCCGUUCUACAAAUCAAGGAUUUCACGAUACGUGACAUAGCUAGCAUUUAAUGAGAUUCAGAGUGAAUCGCGAAUAUUCUAGUCUAACUUAACUCAACACUCCCGCAACGAUGAUCCGUGGAGGGAUUAAAAUUAAAUGAUGAAGUGAUAACUUUUUAACGUUAUCAGGCAUUCUAACGUUCCAUUCUUAAUGUUUAUAAUUAAAUUUUUAAUCGACAACAAUUUAAACAUGUCUUGUUGCCUCAUCUUGCCGACCAUCGUUAAGAAAGUUUUGCUUCCAAAAUGUCUUACAGUUCUUAAUUAUGCUACCCUCAUCAUAUGGAUUGACUGUGGAAAGAUUACGAGACAAAGAGGUAGAAUUUUGGGAACCUAACUCAGCUCUCGAUGGGAAACAUCUCACAAAGCAAUUUGAUUCUCUAAUUAACAAUAUACACUGAUCCAAUCCCAGGAUACCACAUACUGUACGUAGAAAGCUUCCAUGAAUUCCGUGACCAUUUUUUGGAGAUGAAUUUUGCUUUGUAGGAGGAACGAGAGUUCCAUAUCGUUUAAAUAGUCGGAAUUCGGCUGUGGUCACGUUGUGAGCAACUUGACAAAUCUGGGUAAAAGCUAAAACAACUACCCAACACCAAUUCACAAACAAAGUUAGAGAAGCAACUAACACAAACAUGUCUUUUAAAGACCACUGGCAUAUGGUACCAGAAAUAAAAAGGCACCUAUACGACUCGUAUUUUUUUUGAAUGGGGAUAUUCUGUAAAUAAUAAAAUGCAACGUAAAAAUAAAUAGGAAUUAAAGUAGACAAUGUGAAGACAAAAAGAAGGAAUGUUCUAUGGUUCCGUGCCCCUACGCAAUUUCCAGUCCAAGGACAAUGGUGAUCAUAACGAUUAAUACACCUUUUACAAGCUCCACAAUGAUAAGAACGAGGAGGCUUAACUUGAAAGCAUUUUAAACAAUAAUGAGAUUGAUUAAAAAGAUCCUUGUCCAAUAAUUUGCUAAUUUCUUCACGACGUUGAACGACGGCACCAAUUUUGUCUACAUAUCCAGGAUUUUGAAAAGCUGUACGAACAUAUAAUCCAAUACAAGUAAAUGAAAUCAAAACAAAUAAAAGAGAAGAGAGAGGUUUUAUGGGUAACGUCUUAGGUACUAUAUAUAACAAAGAAUGACACCAUACCCAGAAGAAAAUUGAGGAAAAUAUGCCAGCCAAGAAUGGAGUUUCAAGAUAGAAAUGUACUAUGUCAAUAUUCGCAUGAAUGCAUGUUGUAAUAUAUUUGAACGUAAAGUAAAUCCACAAAGGAGCGAUUAUCAAGGAGAUGACCAUUGGGCAAAUUGACAUAAUAAAAAAAAAGACGCCAGUAAUUAUAAAGGACGAUAAAAAGCAAAAAAUAAUAAAUGUUUUUUGCGAAAAUUGAAAUUUACUAGGAACAACGACCCAUUUUUCAGGUUCUUCAGAGGUUUCUUUAACUUUUAAUCCAUUUGAAAUUAAUGCCUGUUUAAAUAAGUGAGAGACGCGAAGUUCUGACGCUAGAGCCCAAGGGGUUUUCAGCUGUCCACUUAAAUUAGCGGUAACUGCAGUACAGGGAAUGCCUCCCUCUUUUAAAAUCAGUUUCAUGCAUUUUAGAUUUCCACCUACAAUGGACCAAUGUAAAGGGGUCAUUUUAUCUUCAUCUGUAGCCAAUACAUCUGCACCCCAUCGCAAAAGACAGUUUGUUAUAGGCUCAUUCCCAUGGUAUGAAGCCCACAUCAGAGGUGUGUGCUGCUGAUCAUCACGUAAAUCGACAGAAAUAUCGAGAUGCAACAAAUAUACUACUAGUAAAGGACUUGCAGCGUGGACUGCCAAAUGCAAACAAUUGAAACCUUGUUUAUCUUUGAGUAAUGGGUCCGCACCAUGCUGAACUAAGUAGUGAACAGUCUUCACAGAGCCACGUUUAGCAGCCCAAUGUAUUGGAGCGGCCUGUAAAUCUCCGCCUAUUGCAUUCACAUCGGCGCCAUGUUCUAACAAAAAUUUACAUAUUGGAAUUUGCUGGUUCAGAGCUGCCCAGUGUAAUGCAGUUGCUCCACCUUCAUCUGUAGCAUUAACAUCUAUCUUUUCAGAAGAUAUCAAAUUUUUAACUGUGUCAAGUUCUCCCUGACUAGCGGCUAAAAAUAAUGAACCCAUAAAGGUGCAGUUCAAUGAUUUUGUUGGUCACUAAUUGUUACAAAAUGUAAAUCGGGAGGUUGCAAAUUUCAGGCAAAUAUGAAAGAACAAUAGGAAUAGAUCUGGUGGUCAAACUCCUAAUCGUACAAAAUUACAUACAAUCAUGAAUAAAAACGAAAAGAAGUAAUUAUAAAUAUAAUAAUUUUGCUCGUAGAAAGACACACUGGUUCAAUGGUGUCUAUAGUACGGUGCAAGCCUUUCGCCAGAUUCAUUGGUGGUGAA